AUUUGCGCUGAAACGCUGACAGUUUUUUUACUAGUGAACGACUGACGUUUGACAUUCGAUUGAGAGUGUUCUGUGUUCCAUUUGUUUAUGUUUUUAUUCUUUGUUUAUAUAAUUUAUAACCUAAACCUAGACAGUUUUGUUUUUAUUUUAAAUAAAACUGAAACUGUCUAAACUAAAAUGGAUAAUAUUCUUGAAGAACUUUUGUUUGGGGACGAAAUUAGCAAAUGCCGUUAUACAUUUAGCAGAUGUACCUACCUCAAAUUAUUCCAGAAGGAUGAGAUGAAAUUAAAUAUAUAUAAACCAUAAUUCAAUAUCCAAUUUAGAGAACAUUUUCGUAUGUCCAGAACUACUUUCCAGGAACUAUUCAAUUGUAUUGAUCAUAUCCACCAAUUUGAAAACAGAAUAAUUCUAUUGGAAAAAAUUAAUGUUUAUGAUUUGGAUGCUAAGUAAACCAGAGAAUUUGUUGCUGGGGAUACGUUUGGUUUGCCAAAGAGCUCUGGACAUAAGAUUUUCACCCAAAUAAUAUAGAAUUACAAAAAAUUGGAAAUAACUAAUCUUGAAUAUCAAUGUGUAUAUUGAGUUUAAUUUUAUUGUAAAUAUUCUAUAAUAUCAUUUUAUUGUAAAUAUUGUAUUAACACAUUUGUGGACACAUCUUUAUAUGCAGACAGUAAUUUCCCUUUGUAAGUACAUGCAUAUAUAGUCGUAUCUGCGAAUGGGUUAUUUGUAAAUCGUAAUCAAUAAAAAAUUUUUGUGAAUCAAUAAAAAACUGGUUUGUUUGAAAAUAAAUGUAGUACAAAUGUGUUAAUAUUUAUUUUCAUGCUUAGAUAAAAACUAAAUGUAUUGUAACACAUCCUUUCAUAUAUCUUCCUCCUCCAUUGUUAAGCAGAAUUUGUUAACAAGAAUUGUCCCUCCAUUCUUUUUUUAAUAAGAGGAAUUUCUUAGUUAG